UGACGGUACCCGCAGAAUAAGCCCCGGCUAACUUCGUGCCAGCAGCCGCGGUAAUACGAAGGGGGCUAGCGUUGUUCGGAAUCACUGGGCGUAAAGCGUACGCAGGCGGAUUGAUAAGUCAGGGGUGAAAUCCCGGGGCUCAACCUCGGAAUUGCCUUUGAUACUGUCUGUCUCGAGUUCGGGAGAGGUUGGCGGAAUUCCUAGUGUAGAGGUGAAAUUCGUAGAUAUUAGGAAGAACACCAGUGGCGAAGGCGGCCAACUGGCCCGAUACUGACGCUCAUGUACGAAAGCGUGGGGAGCAAACAGGAUUAGAUACCCUGGUAGUCCACGCUGUAAACUAUGGAUGCUAGCCGUUGGGGAGCUUGCUCUUCAGUGGCGCAGCUAACGUCUUAAGCAUCCCGCCUGGGGAGUACGGUCGCAAAAAAAAACUCAAAGGAAUU
rnacentral:rRNA from 1 species